rfam:Gossypium hirsutum cultivar TM-1 chromosome 25, whole genome shotgun sequence
UAUUUAAAGUUUCAUCUAUUUGUACUAUUAAAAACCAGUGUGCCUGACUAAAUAACUAGCACACCACAUGUACGUCAAAAACCAAUUUUUAACAAUAGAAAUGGAUGGAGUUUUUAACA